ACUGUAGGAGGGGGGGCAGCGUUACAUGUGACAUCACUGUAUAUGCAAAGGUGGACUGAAGUGGACUGAAGUGGACUGAGGUGGACUGAAGUGGACUGAGGUGGACUUUGGUGGACUGAGGUGGACUGAAGUGGACUGUGGUGGACUGUGGUGGACUGAAGUGGACUUUGGUGGACUGUGGUGGACUGUGGUGGACUGAAGUGGACUGAGGUGGACUGUGGUGGACUGAAGUGGACUGAAGUGGACUGAGGUGGACUGUGGUGGACUGAAGUGGACUGUGGUGUACCUGUUCUCUUUGCCGUUCUGGAUCACAGGGGGUCGCUCUGUGGAGUUC